AUGCUCGCUUCAGUAGCACAUAUGCGAAAAUUGGAAUGAUACAGAGAUUAGCAUGGCCCCUGCUCAAGGAUGACAUGCAAAUUUGUGAAGGCUUCCAUAUUUUU